GUAAGGGCGACUGAAACGGGAACAGCCCAGCGCAUAACCUCGCGGUCCUUAGAUGGCCGUCGAGGGGUGUUGCGUUUCGGUGGGUCCAUCCCGUCCGAGCCGCUCACCGCCUAAGUCAUUGCUUGAAAGCAGCCCCCAGGAGGGUGAGAGGCCCGUGUGGCGGCGCCCGUAAAAGGGGUGUAGGCGGCUCGGUCGGAGGGAUUUUCACCGCAGAGUCGGGUUGCUUAGUACUGCAGCCCUAAGCAGGUGGUAAACUCCAUCUAAGGCUAAAUAUGACCACGAGACCGAUAGGUGACAAGUACCGUGAGGGAAAGCUGAAAAGAACUUUGAA
rnacentral:rRNA from 1 species